GUGCCAGCAGCCGCGGUAAUACGGAGGAUCCAAGCGUUAUCCGGAAUCAUUGGGUUUAAAGGGUCCGUAGGCGGGACAAUCAGUCAGCGGUGAAAGUCUGUGGCUCAACCAUAGAAUUGCCAUUGAUACUGUUGUUCUUGAAUACUUAUGAAGUGGUUGGAAUAUGUAGUGUAGCGGUGAAAUGCAUAGAUAUUACAUAGAACACCGAUUGCGAAGGCAGAUCACUAAUAAUUUAUUGACGCUGAUGGACGAAAGCGUAGGUAGCGAACAGGAUUAGAUACCCUGGUAGUCUACGCCGUAAACGAUGGUUACUAGCUGUUCGGUCGCAAGACUGAGUGGCUAAGCGAAAGUGAUAAGUAACCCACCUGGGGAGUACGUUCGCAAGAAUGAAACUCAAAGGAAUUGACGG
rnacentral:rRNA from 1 species